UCUUCGCUUCAGGAGCUUCAGGAGAUUGUGUUUCUCGUAGUGCUUGAGAUUCCACUUCUAUUGUUCUGCUGAUUUGUUGCACCAUCAGCUCUCCUCAAACAGGCUCGUGAACUUUCGGUCAACAUGGAAGCAGCAGUUGGCCCUUCGGCAAAUGGAAGGAGCAGGAAGUAAACUCGAUCGGUUAAAUGGGCACAGCAAGGCGACACAAUGGCAUUUCUUGUUCACGGCUGCAUCCCGAAUGACCACCCCAACAAUCAAAAUGUUUCACCACAAAGCCUGAUUCUUCCCCUGGCUCUUCCCUUCUCCUGUGUGCAUCUAUAAAAUCCUCUGAUUUGCGUCUUACCAGGCAUGUUUAGAUGUUGGCAUUCUCUCUAAUACUGCCUGGUAAUGCUGCCAAUCACACGGAAGUAGAUCUUCAUGACCUUCCAUCUCAGUCAGUACAGGACCCUUUUGGAUGUUAGCAGUGUAGCUUCUGUUCAUCUGCUGACCUAAUGUAUCUUUAGUACCAUUAACGACGAGGUGAAUCGAUGCAAAUCCUCAAAUUUAAUCAGUAUAUGCAAUAAAUGUUAUUUCAUUCGAA